rnacentral:rRNA from 1 species
GACGAACGCUGGCGGCGUGCUUAACACAUGCAAGUCGAACGGAAAGGCCCUGCUUGCAGGGUACUCGAGUGGCGAACGGGUGAGUAACACGUGGGUGAUCUGCCCUGCACUUCGGGAUAAGCUUGGGAAACUGGGUCUAAUACCGGAUAGGACCGCACUUUAGUGUGUGUGGUGGAAAGUUUUUUCGGUGUAGGAUGAGCUCGCGGCCUAUCAGCUUGUUGGUGGGGUAAUGGCCUACCAAGGCGGCGACGGGUAGCCGGCCUGAGAGGGUGUACGGCCACAUUGGGACUGAGAUACGGCCCAGACUCCUACGGGAGGCAGCAGUGGGGAAUAUUGCACAAUGGGCGCAAGCCUGAUGCAGCGACGCCGCGUGGGGGAUGAAGGCCUUCGGGUUGUAAACUCCUUUCGCUAGGGACGAAGCUUUUUGUGACGGUACCUAGAUAAGAAGCACCGGCUAACUAC